rnacentral:rRNA from 1 species
GAUGAACGCUGGCGGCGUGCCUAAUACAUGCAAGUAGAACGCUGAAGCUUGGUGCUUGCCCCGAGCGGAUGAGUUGCGAACGGGUGAGUAACGCGUAGGUAACCUGCCUGGUAGCGGGGGAUAACUAUUGGAAACGAUAGCUAAUACCGCAUGACAACAGUUAUUGCAUGAUAACUGUUUAAAAGGGGCAAUUGCUCCACUACCAGAUGGACCUGCGUUGUAUUAGCUAGUUGGUGAGGUAACGGCUCACCAAGGCGACGAUACAUAGCCGACCUGAGAGGGUGAUCGGCCACACUGGGACUGAGACACGGCCCAGACUCCUACGGGAGGCAGCAGUAGGGAAUCUUCGGCAAUGGACGGAAGUCUGACCGAGCAACGCCGCGUGAGUGAAGAAGGGUUUCGGAUCGUAAAGCUCUGUUGUAAGAGAAGAACGAGUGUGAGAGUGGAAAGUUCACACUGUGACGGUAUCUUACCAGAAAGGGACGGCUAACUACGUG